AUGGCAAAAUUCUGGUGGAGUGGUUCCCUUGACAGACGAUCUUUGCACUGGAUAUCAUGGGACAGUCUCGCAUCCCCAAAGGUUAACGGUGGUAUGGGCUUCCGAGAUCUACCAUUGUUUAACUUGGCACUGCUAGGUAAGCAUGGGUGGAGGUUCAUUACAAAUCCGGGAUCCCUGUGCAGCCGUGUUAUGAAGGGUCGCUAUUUUCCUGAUGGAGAGUUCAUGGAUGCAGUGGUACCACACUCGUCGUCGGCUGUAUGGCGGGCCAUUAUUGCUGGUCGUGAA
rnacentral:rRNA from 1 species